rnacentral:rRNA from 1 species
UACGGGGGGGGCAAGCGUUGUUCGGAAUUACUGGGCGUAAAGGGCUUGUAGGUGGCCAACUAAGUCAGACGUGAAAUCCCUCGGCUUAACCGGGGAACUGCGUCUGAUACUGGAUGGCUGGAGUGUGGGAGAGGGAUGCGGAAUUCCAGGUGUAGCGGUGAAAUGCGUAGAUAUCUGGAGGAACACCGGUGGCGAAGGCGGCAUCCUGGACCAUUACUGACACUGAAAAGCGAAAGUCAGGGGAGCAAACGGG